rnacentral:siRNA from 1 species
UCAUAGAUUGAUGAUCCUUUCCU